rnacentral:tRNA from 1 species
AAAUUUAGGUUAACCCAAACCAAGGGCCUUCAAAGCCCUAAAUACGAGUAACUAAACCCUCAUAAUUUCUG